AUAGCUGAAAACAUAAAAACGGACAAUCAACACCGUAGAUUAUGACCCAUCAAAUCUCACGGCUGAGAUUAAAACACAUAUUCUCCCUCAAAUCCCUAACUCACCGUCCAAAAUUUCCUCUCUCCUCAAACUUGCAAACCUCUUGUCUUUCUCUCUCCUCAAAUCCCAAAAUUGAACACAAAUUGCUGGAAAUUGAAGAAUUUUUGUUCAAAUUUCGCAUAAACAACCUAAAAUUGCUCAAAUCAGAAAUGGAGAGGCAACAAUAAAAGCCUUUGUUUCUGUUAGUUUUCUCUUGGAGACCAGCCGCUUGCUGCUCAAUUUCAGGAAAUUCCUGCAGAGCUUCGGAUGUCAGAAGCUGAGAGGGUUGGAUAUGAACUUUUGAAAUCAACUGUGGCGGACAAAAUUCCAAGUGAUUUGGAAGGCAUGGAAAGUACUCUGGAGAGGUUGCUGGCUUUAAUUGAAAUGGACCAAAGCAAACCUGA